GCGAUACUGCGUGACUUGAGGCCGGAAGAGGGGAGUGGGAUUCCCGGUGUAGCGGUAAAAUGCGCAGAUAUCGGGAGGAACACCAGUGGCGAAGGCGGCUACCUGGACCGCACCUGACGCUCAGAGGCGAAAGCUAGGGGAGCGAACAGGAUUAGAGACCCUGGUAGUCCUAGCCCUAAACGCUGGAUGCUAGGUGUAGGGCUGAUGAGGCUCUGUGCCGGAGCGAACGCGAUAAGCAUCCCGCCUGGGAACUACGGCCGCAAGGCUAAAACUCAAACGAAUUGACGGGGACCCGCACAAGCAGCGGAGCGUGUGGUUUAAUUCGAUGCUACACGAAGAACCUUACCUGGGUUUGACAUGCUGGUGGUACCGAACCGAAAGGGGAGGGACCCUUCGGGGAGCCAACACAGGUGCUGCAUGGCUGUCGUCAGCUCGUGCCGUGAGGUGUCGGGUUAAGUCCCGUAACGAGCGCAACCCUUGCUCUUAGUUAUACGUGUCUAAGGGGACUGCCGGCGACAAGCCGGAGGAAGGUGGGGAUGACGUCAAGUCAGCAUGGCCUUGAUAUCCAGGGCUACACACACGCUACAAUGGCCGGUACAAAGGGCAGCCAAGCCGCGAGGUGGAGCGAAUCCCAGCAAAGCCGGUCCCAGUUCGGAUUGCAGGCUGCAACCCGCCUGCAUGAAGUUGGAGUUGCUAGUAACCGCGCGUCAGCAUUAGUGCGCGUCUAUACGUACCCGGGUCUUGUACACACCGCCCGUCACGUCAUGGGAGUUGGCAACGCCUGA
rnacentral:rRNA from 1 species